GAUGAACGCUGGCGGCGUGCCUAAUACGUGCAAGUCGAGCGAACGGACGAGAAGCUUGCUUCUCUGAUGUUAGCGGCGGACGGGUGAGUAACACGUGGAUAACCUACCUAUAAGACUGGGAUAACUUCGGGAAACCGGAGCUAAUACCGGAUAAUAUUUUGAACCGCAUGGUUCAAAAGUGAAAGACGGUCUUGCCGUCACUUAUAGAUGGAUCCGCGCUGCAUUAGCUAGUUGGUAAGGUAACGGCUUACCAAGGCAACGAUGCAUAGCCGACCUGAGAGGGUGAUCGGCCACACUGGAACUGAGACACGGUCCAGACUCCUACGGGAGGCAGCAGUAGGGAAUCUUCCGCAAUGGGCGAAAGCCUGACGGAGCAACGCCGCGUGAGUGAUGAAGGUCUUCGGAUCGUAAAACUCUGUUAUUAGGGAAGAACAUAUGUGUAAGUAACUGUGCACAUCUUGACGGUACCUAAUCAGAAAGCCACGGCUAACUACGUG
rnacentral:rRNA from 1 species